AAGGAUCAUUAAUGAAGUUUGGGUUUCAAACCCUCUCUCUUCUACACACUUGUGAACUUACACCGUUGCUUUGGCAGGUCUCCAGAAGGGUUUCAAGCCCGGAAGGUCAGGUCGCGAGACGCCUGCCAAAGACAUUUAUCCACCUUUUUUAAUUGUCUGAUUUUUGUUUUUAACAAACCAUAAAAAAACUUUCAACAAUGGAUCUCUUGGCUCUGGCAUCGAUGAAGAACGCAGCGAAAUGCGAUAAGUAAUGUGAAUUGCAGAAUUCAGUGAAUCAUCGAAUCUUUGAACGCACAUUGCGCCCUCUGGUAUUCCGGAGGGCAUGCCUGUUUGAGUGUCAUUAAUCUCUCACAGAUCCAAUUGGUUUCAAACUGGUUGGUGUCUGUUGAAGUUGGGACGUGCGAUCUUCUCCGGAAAUCGCUCUCCUCAAAUGUAUUGGUGCGGCCCGCCGCCCGGUUACACAACGUUCUAGGUUCGUCCAACUCGUUGCUUUCCGGUGCAAUCUGGUGCAGCACCUAAAGCCCGCCUCGUGCCUCGUGCUCUUGGCUAUUUCAUUUAUUGACCUCAGAUCAGGUAGGAAUACGCGCUGAACUUAA
rnacentral:rRNA from 1 species